rnacentral:lncRNA from 1 species
CUUAACAUACAUGUGACCUUUUAAGCCAAAGGUAAGUCUAACGUUUGAAGAAUGUGUAUAUCAUUUGUAAAUCGUUCCAUUGCCCCAAAAAUAUUUAUAUAAAAUUUAUGAAUAAUAUAAAAAGGAAUACACAAUAGAGGAAAAGGAAAUAAAUAUCAAUCCCACGUAGGGGUACAAUGGUAAACUAAGCUAAACUUCCAUAUAAAUCUUCAUUCCUGAACUUCUUGAUGCUUUUGAAUUUCUUCUUGAUGAAGAGGAUCUUCACUUGACUUAAACAAAGAAACUAGCUACAAAGAUUAAAAAAAAAACCAACCCCAAAGGACAAUGUCACUUACAAAUUGACAUACAUAUCCUUCAAAUUUAACAAAUAAUUUAACAAAUAAUUGAAUGAUCAUCUUAUAUUGAACGGGGUUAAUUAGACUCAAGGUGAUCUUCUAAUGGAUCCAAUACACCUUGGGUAUUGGAUUAUCUUAGGUUAAUGCACCUAAAAAGGGUUUUGGCAUAGCUCUAACUUAGUUAACUGAGAGUUGACUUUAUUUACAGUUGAUAGGUGACCCAAGCGGACUCCUAGGCUGGGACAAUUAAUGACUAUUGACUAUCCAGUAGCUAACUACAUUCGUGAGGGUGCCCCGAGAAAAGUUUGGUUAGCGAAUGAUUGCGAACCCGUAUAAUCAUCCCUUAAGUAAAAAAAAAUAUAAUAUCGUUUGACGGAAUAAAUGUUAUGCAUGCAAUGACAAUAACAUUCGAAAUUUAAACACAUAAUUACAUAAAGCAACAUUUAAUACUACAAAUAAUGGUUAGCCAAACAGUAAUAUCUUUUGAUUAAAACCUAGAUGAAUUCCCAGCAAAGUCGUCAUUCUGUUACGACCCAAUUUCGAAAACUGAAAGGUUUCAAAGCCGAUUCACAACUUUGACAAUUUGUUAAAGGUUUUGGAAAAAAUAAGUAAUUUGGAAAGUCACCACUUAUUUUUUUGGAAAAAAAUAAGAAAGCCAUUUAAAAGGAAUUUUUUUGAAAGAAACCACUUUAAAUAAAAUCAGAGUUUUGGGUAAGGGUUCAACUAAUUCUCUAAGUAAGGGUUUAUGCAUGUUAGAGAAUCCGCUAGCAUGCGGUUGACCGCGGAUUUUAAUGUUUGGCUAAUAUUUAAGAAAAAAUUUAAGGUCACUUGAUAGAAUUAUUUUAUGAAAAUAAAUACAGAUCAACUAACUUAACAAGUAAGAAGAUAUUUAAGGUGUUAAACCGAUGAAAAUAUUUUUUUGACUUAAUAAUUUAUUUGAGUUAUUGAUUUUGAACCAAGUGGCUAAUUCAAAUUUAUAAAACAUGGAUUAAAAGAUUUCUAAUAACUAUGAAAGAACAUACAUAGUUCUUAAGUUAUUCCAUAAGCUUAAGUAGCCUAAAAAUAAAUUGUGUCAACAAAUCCAACUCCUUGAAAAGGAAUUUGAUAAAGGAAAAAAAUUAAAUAAUGUUAAACUCCUACGAGGAUUUAUCCAAGACAAUAAAACUUUAGAAAAAUGUUAGCAAUCACAACAACAAAAAUAAUAAAAAGGAAGUAACAUAAAAAGGGUAUCGAAAACUGAAAAUUUCAGCCCCAUUCCAACCAUUUUAGGGGGCUGAAAUUGUUGUAUUUUGCAGCUCAGAUCUUAGGCCGCUUGACCCAAAAUGCUUUCUGUUCCUUCAGUGGUAUUUUUAGACCUUUAAAGACCAAAAAAGAAGUCAUUUUAACCCUCUGAAACUGCUGCAAUUCAGCCUUAUUUCAGCUGUUCAAAUUUCAACAAUUUGGACGGAAAAAACUUUCAUUUUCAGCUAUUUUGAGCUGAUGUUGCUGCUUGUUUUUGCCACUGAUCUGUUCGUUUUACCUGGGUUUCAAUCGAAUGACAUUAACUUCCCUUUCACUAGGUGUAAAGGAGAGUCGACUCGGAGAGGAAAAUGCAAAAGGAAGAGUCCGAUUGGACUCAAACAAGAGAGUUCAUGCAAAUUCAAAGACGAGGAAAAAAGGAUUAGUAAGAUGAUUUUAAUAAGCAUGUUUGAACAAGAAACCUUAAUUUAUAUAUUCAACCUCAUUACUGAAAAUUAAACAAGAAGGAGAUCACUCAACCACACAAAUGUUUUCUUUAACCAAAACUCAACUCUAAAUAUAAGAGAUUAGCAACAAUGAUUAACUUCAAACCAUAUUAAUCAGUAUUUGUUCAACAACCAAGAUUUUAAAGAAGUAAACUAAAAAAAUCAGUCCAUAUUUCUAUAAUAUUCAAUUUCCAACAAGACAGACAUACUAAAGAAAAAUUUUUGGCAAAACAAGAGAGACUUAAGCACUCCAGCAAUACAAGAGAUGAGCAAUUAAUGAAUUAACAAGUUCAACUUUGUUUUAUAAUACAGAACACUUAGAUGCGGAGGAGUACACAACUUGUAUUCUUAAUUGUAUGCAUUUAAAGAGGGCAAUGAGAGAGCAGGAAACCAUCAGAAACAGAAGAAGACACUUAAUUUCUAAUCCUAACAUAUUUCUUUCACAUUCAAACCAAGGAACAAUACGAUCAUAAAUUUCAAUCACAUAUUUAAGCGAAUAGAAGAUCAGAAUAUAGAUGGGGAAUGACACAACUUAGACAAUUCACUAUGAAUCUUGAAUUUUACAAUCAGCAAAUAGAGAAAUAAAAGAUUGAGUAAAAAUGUUAGUUAACAAAAGAGACCUCAGGCAAGGUAAAUAUGCUCCUGGAAACAAUAGUGAUCAUAUUCAUAUUUCUUAACUACUGCCAGCAACAGAGCAACAAACUUUACUGCUAUUUACAUAAACAUCACACUAAACACAUUUAAUUAAAAAAACAUAAUUGACAAUACUAAAACAAACAACAAUUCCACAAUGCAUCAGAAAGAAAAGAAUAAAGAAAGAGCAAAAAGAUUACCUGGUUCUGGCCAGCAAACCCGAAGACGAGUUUGGCGGAGACGAUUCCACCUCUCUCAACUAGAGCAACCACAAAAACGUUUAAAAAUAUUAAAUUACGGAACCAAGAAUUCCCAAAACUUUAUGGGUAAUCUUUGGUCUCCGAAAAUUCUCCUUUAAAACAGUGAAUGAAGUGAAUUUAUAUAGAAACCCAAAAAUUCCAAAAAUCUGAGAAGAUAUGAUGUGGGAUUUUUGAAAAUUUUCAAAAUCCCUUAACAAAUAGGGAUUUCCCAUUGGUUGAUGUACGAAUUGGAAUGGUGAGGUGUUGAUUUUGAGCGAAGGAGGAUCGAGGCACCAGAUUUUGACAUCUCACCCUCUCCAAAGGUCUUCGUACGAAAAGAGAUGGGAGGAUGCAUCGCGUAACUGCUGAAAUUUUUGGGUUUCCUCUGAGUUUCAGUCGCGAGAGAGGACAAAGAUCGCGCGGGUCGGGUGGGUUGAUUUUUGGUAUUGCUGUACGCUGUGGGUAUUUGGAAUUUUAUGUUUUGGAAUGGAUUAUUUGACAAGUUGGGCUGCUGAGAAUGGGUUUGGAUUGACAAGAUGACCCAAAUUUGG